GCUGGGUGUGGUGGCGCAUACCUGUAAUCCCAGUGGCUGGGGAGACUGAGGCAGGAGGAUGGUGAGUUCAAAGCCAGCCUCAG
rnacentral:sRNA from 1 species